UCUCUCUCUCUCUCUCCUGUUUCUUCUUCCCCAGCAAAUAAACACACAUAAGAAUUAAAAAUACAAAACACACUCUGGAAGCUGAAGAGUAGAAUCCCCACAUAUAUAGUCGCGAUUUAAAGAAGAACGAGGGACAGAGGCAGUGGAUUUGAAGUGAGAGAAAAAAGAUUUGGCUUCCUAUCGACAAAUUUAUUGGUUGUGAUUAGGGCUCCAUUAAAGCUCUGUAUUUCAUCUGUUUUGGUCAUCUGUUCAUUCAACAGCUUCUUACCACAGGUUUCUCUUUUCUCUUUUUAAUGUUUUGAUUCCUUUAAGGUUUCUUGCACCAUAGUUGUAUGGUUGUUUUGGAGUAGGAAUCAUUAAAAGCAGCAUAACCAAAGUGAGUAGCAACAGAUAAUGGUUGUAGUAGAGCCCUAUUAUAAACGUUCUUGAAGAGUGAAAGGGCACAAAUUCUUCAGCCAUAGGAUUUCCCUUCGAUAAGAUUUCCUCCAAAUCUCUCAUAUCUUUCUUAAAACCCUCUUUGUGGCUAUGGCGAUCAACCCUAUUCUUCAGCCUAUGAUUGUUAUCAUUUGACCCCGAAAUCAAAAUCGAAGACUGUAAAUCGAUUUUGGAGAAGAAGAUUGGCUCUCAAUUAGAACAAGCCACACUCGAUGAGGUGUUUGGGUUUGUGACUGAGAAGAAUAAAGACAACAUUUGGGUGUGUAUGUGUCUAUGGAUGUGUGUUUGCAGCUUUGGAUUCGUUUUUUGACCGAUUUAUGAAAUGGUUUUUUGAAUUUGGGUUUUGAUUUUUGAUUUCUGUAAUGAUGUAUUUCUUAAAAAUGAAGAACAUUAACUCAGAGAUGAACACUUGUGUAUUUGAUUUCUGGGUUGAAGAACAAACAGAAAAAUGGUUUCCUGAAG
rnacentral:lncRNA from 1 species